GUGUAUAUAUGCGUCUCAAGCAAUCCAUCAAUCCAAUAAGCUAAGCCAUUUCUCCUAGUCUUCUCUUCCGAUCGAUAUAGUAUAGACAUCAAAGCCCAGGUUAGCCAGCAGCCAUGGGAAGCAACGAUGGUCUUAUUAAGAGUGUGAUCAUCUGCGUCCUCAUACUGGGGCUACUCCUGGAGCACCAGGCAGUCCAAGUAGAUGCCAGGCAGAGUUGCUGCAGCAGCACCGAGGGAAGGAGAUGCUACUUGAGAUGCCGUUUAACAGUGGAAGCCUGCUUGGAGGAAUGUGGAUGUAUAAUCAUUUCUGGCUCAACUUGUCCAAGUGCCUUCCCUUAUCCACCUCUCGCGGCUGACUCCCGUAAAGAGAACUCAGGUGAUGCUGUCGUUGCAGCCUAAUUAAUCAUGCAUGUACGUAUACGUGCAUGAUCCAUGUCCAAGAGCCAACUUCAUGUUGGUAGCUAGUACUGCUUCGUGUUAAAUAAAUUGGGUUCGAUAUAAUCCUUCCAACCGUAUCCAAGCCCAGUACGUGUGUGUUUUAUCCUCCUCGUUCCAAUAAGAGUCAUCACGCGAUGAAUAUAUUUGUACCCUUUGCCCUUUGGCCAAUUUAUAUGAACGCUACAAGUAAUGAAAUUUGUGUUACAUUUGCUUCU